AAGACACUAGUAAAAGUGAAUAUUACUUCUCCUUGUCAAGGGGACAUUGUAGGUUGAAAUCCUUCGUGCCUUA
rnacentral:tRNA from 1 species